AGUGAUAUGAUGUUAAGACAAUGCUCUCAGUGGUACUAAACGCAAGUAUGGUACUUACAUUAUUACCAAAACACGGCAAUUCUUUUUUGAUUGGUUUUCUCCCACUUGCUAUGAUUACGAAACUUUCGAAUACGGAUGUAACGAAAACAGUUUAUUUUAUAUUUACGCGCCAAUUUUCUCCGAAUAACCAAAUUAAAUAACUUGUGGAUAGACUCCAUCCAUGAUGCAUCUUAUGAUCUAAAAAUUCACACAAAGCUUCAUAGUGCGUAUAUCUAAAAUUCCAGUUUACAACAUAUACCUUCUGAUGACUGAUGUCGUAAAUAUAUACGUAUUUCAUUAAAAAAAAGUGAUUUUUAUAUUUAUUUUGCUUAAAACUACUAUUUAUAGGUACGCGGAAAUCCGUGUUUUACGGUACCGAAUUUUGUACUAAAAUUUUGUGCCAGGUUUUUUGAACUUUUUUUUAGGUAUCGUCAGGCGAACGUUUUUUUGUGGCGUUUCUGUUAAGAAACAUUACUAAACUUAGAUUAUUUUUGAAAAAAAGAAUAGUUAAACUUGAUUAAUAUAUAACAUUUAUGUGUGGUUGGUAAUUUUUGUAUUGCUUUUAUUUGUAUUAAAAACUUGGUUGUUGUUCUCACAUUAAAUUAUUGUCAAAGAAAUGCUCAGAUAGUUUGCAAACCUACCCAGAUAGUUUUUUACAUAUAUUUUUUAUCUACCUACCAAAUUUCAUUGAAAAAUAUUAUUGAGCAGAUAGUCUAUAAAAGUGAGCAGUUUUGGUACCUCAUUUCUGUUUUUCUGAUUUCCGUAAGUGGGUGGUAAGAGGGGUACGAACAAGUUUAAUUUUAUUUGUGUGACUUGUUUAUAGUUUCUAAAAUUUUAUUGGUUUCAUUGAAAUUGAAAACAUAAGCGUUGAUUACUAUAAUUCUAGCUAUAGGUUGUGGGUAACCAUUACCACUCUAUUUAACAAACUUCUCAACUUAACCAAAAUUUACGAAUAGCAGCGAAAAGACUUUUUUUUCAAAAGUAGGCUCGGUUGUGGUCUUUAUCUUUAGCUUGUAGAUUAUACUUGGUGCAAAAAGCCUAAUUCAGGUUUUAAAUUGUUAACUUAUUUUAAAUUGUUAACUCAUUGUCAGGUUUUAAAUUGUUAACUCAUUUUAAAAUAAUUAUAGUUGUUAUUAUAAAGAUUGAUUUAUUUUACUUAUUUAUUU